GGACUUGGCUCAGUGGUAGAGCAUCUGCUUAGCAUGUACAAGGUCCAAGAUUCAAUCCCUAGCACCA
rnacentral:tRNA from 1 species